rnacentral:rRNA from 1 species
GGGUGCGAUCAUACCAGCACUAAUGCACCGGAUCCCAUCAGAACUCCGCAGUUAAGCGUGCUUGGGCGAGAGUUGUACUGGGAUGGGUGACCUCUUGGGAAGUCCUCGUGUUGCACCCC